UACGUAGGGUGCAAGCGUUGUCCGGAAUUAUUGGGCGUAAAGAGCUCGUAGGCGGUGUGUCACGUCGGCCGUGAAAACCUGCAGCUUAACUGUGGGCGUGCGGUCGAUACGGGCAUCACUGGAGUUCGGCAGGGGAGACUGGAAUUCCUGGUGUAGCGGUGAAAUGCGCAGAUAUCAGGAGGAACACCGGUGGCGAAGGCGGGUCUCUGGGCCGAUACUGACGCUGGAGGAGCCGAAAGCCGUGGGGAGCAAACAGG
rnacentral:rRNA from 1 species